rnacentral:hammerhead_ribozyme from 1 species
AUUCGUCUGACGAGUCCCAAAUUGGAUGAAACGCGCGUCCUGGAU